UUCGCAAUGCCCGAAAGGGUGACGAAGCGACGCCGCGCGCGGGAAGAAGGCCUUCGGGUUGUAAACCGCUGUCGGGAGUUAAGAAAUGUAAGGAUGUUAAUAGCAUCUUUGCUUGACUAAGGCUCCGGAGGAAGCCACGGCUAACUCUGUGCCAGCAGCCGCGGUAAUACAGAGGCGGCAAGCGUUGUUCGGAAUUAUUGGGCGUAAAGAGCACGUAGGCGGCUAUGUAAGUCGGUUGUGAAAGCCUUCCGCUCAACGGGAGAACAGCAUCCGAUACUGCAUGGCUUGAGUGCGGGAGGGGAGAGUGGAACUUCUGGUGGAGCGGUGAAAUGCGUAGAUAUCAGAAGGAACGCCGGCGGCGAAAGCGGCUCUCUGGCCCAUAACUGACGCUGAGUGUGCGAAAGCUAGGGGAGCAAACGGGAUUAGAUACCCCGGUAGUCCCAGCCGUAAACGAUGGGCACUAAGUAGAGGGGUUUU
rnacentral:rRNA from 1 species